rnacentral:rRNA from 1 species
AUUGAACGCUGGCGGCAUGCCUUACACAUGCAAGUCGAACGGCAGCACGGGUGCUUGCACCUGGUGGCGAGUGGCGAACGGGUGAGUAAUACAUCGGAACAUGUCCUGUAGUGGGGGAUAGCCCGGCGAAAGCCGGAUUAAUACCGCAUCCGAUCUACGGAUGAAAGCGGGGGACCUUCGGGCCUCGCGCUAUAGGGUUGGCCGAUGGCUGAUUAGCUAGUUGGUGGGGUAAAGGCCUACCAAGGCGACGAUCAGUAGCUGGUCUGAGAGGACGAGCAGCCACACUGGAACUGAGACACGGCCCAGACUCCUACGGGAGGCAGCAGUGGGGAAUUUUGGACAAUGGGCGAAAGCCUGAUCCAGCAAUGCCGCGUGUGUGAAGAAGGCCUUCGGGUUGUAAAGCACUUUUGUCCGGAAAGAAAACCUUGGCCCUAAUACGGUCGGGGGAUGACGGUACCGGAAGAAUAAGCACCGGCUAACUACGUG